rnacentral:rRNA from 1 species
AGUACCACAAGAGGAAGAGACGGCUAACUCUGUGCCAGCAGCCGCGGUAAUACAGAGGUCUCAAGCGUUGUUCGGAAUCACUGGGCGUAAAGCGUGCGUAGGCUGUUUCGUAAGUCGUGUGUGAAAGGCGCGGGCUCAACCCGCGGACGGCACAUGAUACUGCGAGACUAGAGUAAUGGAGGGGGAACCGGAAUUCUCGGUGUAGCAGUGAAAUGCGUAGAUAUCGAGAGGAACACUCGUGGCGAAGGCGGGUUCCUGGACAUUAACUGACGCUGAGGCACGAAGGCCAGGGGAGCGAAAGGGAUUAGAUACCCCUGUAGUCCUGGCAGUAAACGGUGCACGCUUGGUGUGCGGGGAAUCGACCCCCUGCGUGCCGGAGCUAACGCGUUAAGCGUGCCGCCUGGGGAGUACGGUCGCAAGAUUAAAACUCAAAGAAAUUGACGGGGACCCGCACAAGCGGUGGAGUAUGUGGCUUAAUUCGAUGCAACGCGAAGAACCUUACCUGGGCUUGACAUGUAAUGAACAACAUGUGAAAGCAUGCGACUCUUCGGAGGCGUUACACAGGUGCUGCAUGGCCGUCGUCAGCUCGUGUCGUGAGAUGUUUGGUUAAGUCCAGCAACGAGCGCAACCCCUGUUGCCAGUUACCAGCACGUGAAGGUGGGGACUCUGGCGAGACUGCCCAGAUCAACUGGGAGGAAGGUGGGGACGACGUCAGGUCAGUAUGGCCCUUAUGCCCAGGGCUGCACACGUACUACAAUGCCCAGUACAGAGGGGGCCGAAGCCGCGAGGCGGAGGAAAUCCUAAAAACUGGGCCCAGUUCGGACUGUAGGCUGCAACCCGCCUACACGAAGCCGGAAUCGCUAGUAAUGGCGCAUCAGCUACGGCGCCGUGAAUACGUUCCCGGGUCUUGUACACACCGCCCGUCACAUCAUGGAAGCCGGUCGCACCCGAAGUAUCUGAAGCCAACCGCAAGGAGGCAGGGUCCUAAGGUGAGACUGGUAACUGGGAUGAAGUCGUAACAAGGUAGCCGUAGGGGAACCUGCGGCUG